UCCGGUUUGUCACCGGCAGUCUCAUUAAAGUGCCCAACUGAAUGAUGGCAAUUAAUGACGAGGGUUGCGCUCGUUGCGGGACUUAACCCAACAUCUCACGGCACGAGCUGACGACAGCCAUGCACCACCUGCACAGAAGUCCCUUGCGGGAGGUUCUGGCUUUCACCAAAAUUUCUUCUGCAUGUCAAACCCAGGUAAGGUUCUUCGCGUUGCCUCGAAUUAAACCACACGCUCCGCUGCUUGUGCGGGCCCCCGCCUAUUCCUUUGAGUUUUAACCUUGCGGCCGUAGUCCCCAGGCGGUGAACUUACUGCGUUAGCGCCGGCACCGACGGGAUCAAGACCGCCGGCACCUAGUGCCCAUCGUUUACAGCGUGGACUAC
rnacentral:misc_RNA from 1 species